rnacentral:rRNA from 1 species
AUGCUACAGUGUAAACAUGCCAUGACUCCUAUGUCUGGUACUGAUCGUUUGUCUGCAUUUGAUGGAGAUCCUCUCACUUCAGAUGAUUCCACUGAGUAUCACAGUAUUGUUGGUGGUCUGCAGUAUCUGACCAUCACUCGGCAUGACAUCUCCUACGCAGUUAAUCGUGUUUGCCAGUUUCUUCAUGCUCCUCGGACUACUCACUGGACAGCGGUGAAGCGUAUUCUUCGUUAUGUUCGCUUCACUGUCGCAUAUGGUUUACUUCUUCAGCCAGCAUCGUCUUUUGCACUUUCAGCUUUUUCGGACGCAGACUGGGCUGGUAAUCCAGAUGACAGGCGAUCCACGGGGGGACAUGUUGUCUUCUUUGGUCCUAAUUUGAUCGUCUGGGCUGCUCGCAAACAAGCUACGGUGUCCAGGAGUAGCACUGAAGCUGAAUACAAGGCAGUUGCCAAUGCUACAGCUGAGAUCAUAUGGGUACAGUCCUUGUUGAGAGAGUUGGGAGUUCCUCAACCCCAGCCGCCUGUCCUUUGGUGUGACAACAUUGAUGCGACGUAUCUAUCAUCUAAUCCGGUGUUUCAUGCUCGGACAAAACACAUUGAAGUUGACUAUCACUUUAUGCGGGAACGUGUUGCACAGAAGCUACUUUCUAUCAAGUUUAUCUCUUCUAAAGAUCAACUUGCUGACAUCUUCACGAAGCCUCUACCACAACCUCAGUUUGUAGGCUGUAGGUGCAAUCUUAACGUACUUUGUACCUCAGGGCAUAGUUAA